rnacentral:rRNA from 1 species
GUCAAGUCAUCAUGCCCCUUAUGUCCAGGGCUUCACACAUGCUACAAUGGCUGGUACAGAGGGCUGCGAUAUCGUGAGGUGGAGCGAAUCCCUUAAAGCCAGUCUCAGUUCGGAUUGGGGUCUGCAACUCGACCCCAUGAAGUCGGAGUCGCUAGUAAUCGCAGAUCAGCAACGCUGCGGUGAAUACGUUCCCGGGCCUU